AAGGCUUUAGCUUAAUUAAAGUGUUUGAGUUGCAUUCAAUUGAUGUUGGAUAAAAUCCUGCAAGCCUUA
rnacentral:tRNA from 3 species